rnacentral:misc_RNA from 1 species
AAGUCGUAACAAGGUUUCCGUAGGUGAACCUGCGGAAGGAUCAUUAUUGAAUAGUUUGUGGUGCUGUGCUGGCCUUUCGGGGUAUGUGCACGCAUUGCUUAUUAUCUAUCUACUUGUGAACCAGUGUAGUCUUGUCGUUUGUUGGUGGAAGCUCGGGCGCAAGCCUGGGUGAAAGCUAAUGAAGGGCGAGUCUAUGAUUUAUAAACUUUUGUAUGUCUUUGAAUGUCAUCUUAUUGACCGUGAAACGUCAGUAAAACCUAUACAACUUUCAGCAACGGAUCUCUUGGCUCUC